rnacentral:misc_RNA from 1 species
GAUGAAGAACGCAGCGAAAUGCGAUACUUGGUGUGAAUUGCAGAAUCCCGUGAACCAUCGAGUCUUUGAACGCAAGUUGCGCCUCAAGCCAUUAGGUUGAGGGCACGUCUGCCUGGGCGUCACAUAUCGUUGCCUGAUGCCAGUUUCCUCGUGAUGGGUGACUGUGCAUGGCGAAUGAUGGCUUCCCGUGAGCAUUGUUGACUCAUGGUUGGUUGAAAAUUGAGUCCUUGGUAGGGAGCGCCGUGAUAGAUGGUGGUUGAGUGACGAACGAGACCCAAUCAUGUGAGACCCCUACCGAAUUUGGCCUUCAUGACCCACAUGCGUCUUUGGAACGCUCAUGACGAGACCUCAGGUCAGGCGGGGCUACCCGCUGAGUUUAAGCAUAUCAAUAAGCGGAGGA